rnacentral:rRNA from 1 species
UACAGAGGGUGCGAGCGUUGUUCGGAAUUACUGGGCGUAAAGGGCUCGUAGGCGGCCAACUAAGUCGGACGUGAAAUCCCCAGGCUCAACCUGGGAACUGCGUCCGAUACUGGAUGGCUUGAAUUCGGGAGAGGGAUGCAGAAUUCCAGGUGUAGCGGUGAAAUGCGUAGAUAUCUGGAGGAAUACCGGUGGCGAAGGCGGCAUCCUGGACCGACAUUGACGCUGAUGAGCGAAAGCUAGGGGAGCAAACGGG